rnacentral:rRNA from 1 species
GACGAACGCUGGCGGCGUGCUUAACACAUGCAAGUCGAACGGGCCUGUCUUCUUUUUUGGGGGGUGGGUUGAGUGGCGAACGGGUGAGUAUCACGUGAGUAACCUGCCCUUCGGUCCUGGAUAACCGCUUGAAAGGGCGGCUAAUACGGGGUGGUCCGGUUGGUCCGCAUGGGCUGGUCGGGAUAGAUUCACUGUUUUUGGUGUUUCGGCGGGGGAUGGGCUCGCGGCCUAUCAGCUUGUUGGUGGGGUGAUGGCCUACCAAGGCGGUGACGGGUAGCCGGCCUGAGGGGGUGGGCGAGCACAAUGGAACUGAGAUACGGCCCAGACAUCGGCGCGAGGAAGCAGUGGGGGGUAUUGCACAAUGGGCGGAAGCCUGAUGCAGCGACGUCGAGUGAGAGAUGGAGGCCUUCGGGUUGUGAACCUCUGUUUCCGGUGGUGAAGGCCCUGUCCGUGUGGAGGGGUUGACGUUAGCCGGGGAUGAAGCGCCGGCUAAAUACGUG